CCUACGGGUGGCAGCAGUGAGGAAUAUUGGGCAAUGGGCGCAAGCCUGACCCAGCAACGCCGCGUGAAGGAAGAAGGCUUUCGGGUUGUAAACUUCUUUUCUCCGGGACGAAGCAAGUGACGGUACCUGAGGAAUAAGCCACGGCUAACUACGUCCCAGCCCCCCCGGUACUACGGAGGUGUCAAGCGUUAGCCGGAUUUACCGGGUGUAAGGGGGGUGUAGGGGGGACUGCAAGUCAGAUGUGAAAACCACGGGGUCAACCUGUGGCCUGCCUUUGAAACUGUAGUUCUGGAGUGCGGGAGAGGCAGAAGGAAUGCGUAGUGUAGCGGUGAAAUGCAUAGAUAUUAGACAGAACACCGGUUGCGAAGGCGGUCUGCUGGACAGCAACUGACGCUGAGGCGCGAAAGCGUGGGGAGCAAACAGGAUUAGAUACCCUUGUAGUC
rnacentral:rRNA from 1 species